rnacentral:miRNA from 1 species
UGAGAUUCAACUCCUCUGACUUU